UACAGCUCUGGUAUUUAAAUUGUGUAUGUGUGCAACAGCAGUUAUCUUUUUGAUAAACUCCAUAACACUAUCAGCAGAGCUGAUCCUGUCAGCACGAAAUGGUAAACGAACAAUGGAAGAUCUCCAAGUGGUUAUCCUUCCAUUUGAAUGGGUCUUUGCCAUUGGCUAUAUUAUUGCAAUCUUUGUACUGGAGUUAUCAAAACAAAAAGCCAAAAAAGUUCAUAAAGAAGAAAAUGAAGAAGAGCUAAAUGCAAUACAACUGAACCGUGUAGAGGACUCAAUACCACAGGAUCCUGCAGAGGGUGGUCACAUGACAGAUUCAUGACCUGCAGAAAAGCCUUCCCCUGGAAUGAAUGUCUGCGUUGCCAUGGAGAGAGGGGUCAAGUACGUUAUGAGAAGCUUGAAGAUGAGAUGGCCUGCUUCCACCACUGGAGGCAUUAGCCCUAGUCCGCAUGCACAGGGUAUUUUUUAAAUGGAGGUUUUCCUCCUUGAAGUGGAGUUUCUCCUCAGUCUCACACUAGAACAGAAUAACUGUAUAUUUAUGUCUAAAUUUGUAACAAGUCCUGUUACCAAUGUUAAAACCAGUGCUAUUUUGGCUACAUCCACCAUUGCAAAAAGGAUAACAGCACACACUCUUUAUGAAGCCAAAAAUUUAUUUUCCCUGUCUACAUGACAACACUGUAAACUGAGUUUCUGAAUAUCUUUAUCAUGGAAGGAGCUAUGCAGUCUUUGCAAGUAGAGAAAAGCCAAAACACAUAGAAA